GACCGGAAAGGACGCCAUGUUGUUAUACGCCGACUUUCUUUCGCUGCUGAUGCGGUGUAAUUCGCUGGUCAGCUAGUCGAAGUCGCUAAGUGUAAAUUAUUAUUUUAGUUAAAUUGGAUUAUUUUGAACAGCAAAAAAUACAUCUACCACCUUACGUCGGUAAAUAGAAUGCAAAUGCAAGCCAUGAAUCAAUUCGGCAAUCAUAGAGGUUUUGGUGGCCCUCCGCAGCCACAAAGACAGGGUCGUCGUGGCAAUAAUCGAGGUGGCUUCCGCAAUUCAAGAUUUGAUCAUAAUGUUCAAAGGAAUCAGAAUCACGGUCAAGGAGGUCAACGGCCUAAUGAGGCAAAGCCACCUCAGCUCAAUGACAAGCCCCAACAACAACCUCCUCAACAACAAAACCAGGCUCAGGCCAAGCCUCAGCCACAACAACAGGCUAAACCUGAAGCUCAGCAGGCUCCACAACAGCAAGCUCAGCAACCAAAGCCACAGCCUGCACCGCAGCCCCAGCAGAAACCUCAACAGCAACCGCCGCAACAACAACAGCAGAAGCCUGCUCCUGUUGUACAAGCUAAGAAUGACUCCCAGGACCAUGUUGAUAAGUCAAUCAAUGUUGAGCAGAAGAAUGUGAAUCAGCAUUCAAACCAAAACCCCAAUCAAAAUCAGCAGCAAAGGAACCUCAAUGGUAACUUUGGGGGCAACAAGCAGGGCGGAUGGGGAGGUCAAGGUGGUCCCGGCAACAAACCAGGGGGCAACUUUGGCCAGGGCAACAAACAGUUUGGUCCUAACAAAGGUGGCCCUGGAGGACCUCCCCGCAACCAACAACGACCCAAUAACAUGCGUGGGCCCCAGCAAGAUGGGGGAAAACCAGUCCAAAGAGAGGAACAAAUGUUAGCUAACAAGCUGAAGGACUUGAUGGGUCCUUUGACAGAUUUACCCCAAAUUGAUCAACCAGAAGUAAAGUUCAAUGGAAGAAGCCGCUUGUACAUUGGAAAUCUUACGGGUGAUGUCACUGAAGAGGAAAUUACUGCUCUGUUCGCACCCUUUGGUGAAACAGCUGAAUUAUUUAUUAACAAGGAAAAGAACUUUGGAUUUAUUAAAAUGGAUUAUAGAGUCAAUGCUGAAAGAGCAAAGAGGGAAUUGGAUGGUAAAAUGAGAAAUGGGAGAACACUCAGAGUUAGAUUUGCACCACACAACAGUGCAGUCAGGGUGAAGAAUCUGCCACCAUUUGUGUCAAAUGAGCUAUUAUAUAGAGCUUUUGAGAUUUUCGGUAAAAUUGAGAGAGCUUAUGUGAGAGUAGAUGAACGUGGGAAGACACUUGGUGAAGGAGUAGUAGAAUUUGCAAGGAAGCCAAGUGCAUUGGCUGCCAUUCGUAAUUGCACUGAGAAGUGCUUUUUCUUGACCUCAUCACUUCGUCCAGUCAUUGUUGAAAGCUUUGAAGAGCCUGAUGAGUUUGAUGGCUACCCAGAAAAGAAUUUGCCAAAGAAACAUCCAGAGUUUUUGAGGGCGCGUGAGCUCGGACCGCGAUUUUCUGAACCCAGUAGCUUUGAACAUGAGUAUGGCACGAGGUGGAAGCAGCUUCAUGAGCUCCAUCGUCAGAAGGAAGAGGCACUUAAGAAGGAACUAGCCGCAGAAGAGGAAAAGUUGGAAGCACAGAUGGAGUAUGCCAAAUACGAGCACGAGACGGAGCUGCUGCGCGAGCAGCUGCGGCAGCGCGAGCAGGACCGCGAGCGGCAGAAGCGCAGCUGGGAGAUGGCGGAGCGCGCGGCCGACGAGCGGCGCGAGGCCGAGCGCGCGCAGCUGCUGCGCCAGGAGGAGGAGCUCUCGCAGCGCAUGCGCCAGCAGGACGACGAGCUGCGCCGCCGCCAGCAGGAGAACACGCUCUUCGUGCAGGCACAAAGACUCAAUUCCAUGUUGGACCGCCAGGAGCAAGGCAUGUUCGACCAGCAGCAGCCAAUGGUGUCAGUUUUUAGCUAGGCCACCAGGACGACAUAUUCAGAUGGCCAGGAAAGGAGCUAGCUGCCAUUAACAGGCGAUUGGAUGAUUUGUGCAAGUGCUGAAAUACCGACGGCAUCCCCGAAAGUGUCCGCGGAAAUUUUCUGUCUAAAUUAUAGGAAUUUAGAUAAAGGAAGAAAAUGGGGAGAAGUCUUCAAGAAUCAAAAUUUAAUUAAUGUACAUUACUUUCUUGCAAUCUUUAUAAACUCUUGUAUAUUUAUGCAAUAACGUAUUUUUUCAUAUAUUUCUAUCAGAUUCGUUAUUGUGCCUACGUUAAAAAGAUAUCUGCAGUAAAUCAUAACUGAUGACAAAUAUAAUUAAAGAAAAAGUGUUGAUUGCAUAAUAAUAGGCAAGUUGUAUUAUUUAAAUGAAUAAAUUCAAAUGUCAUA
rnacentral:misc_RNA from 1 species